AACGCUGGCGGCGUGCUUAACACGUGCAAGUCGAACGGAAAGGCCCUGCUUUUGUGGGGUGCUCGAGUGGCGAACGGGUGAGUAACACGUGAGUAACCUGCCCUUGACUUUGGGAUAACUUCAGGAAACUGGGGCUAAUACCGGAUAGGAGCUCCUGCUGCAUGGUGGGGGUUGGAAAGUUUCGGCGGUUGGGGAUGGACUCGCGGCUUAUCAGCUUGUUGGUGGGGUAGUGGCUUACCAAGGCUUUGACGGGUAGCCGGCCUGAGAGGGUGACCGGCCACAUUGGGACUGAGAUACGGCCCAGACUCCUACGGGAGGCAGCAGUGGGGAAUAUUGCACAAUGGGCGGAAGCCUGAUGCAGCAACGCCGCGUGCGGGAUGACGGCCUUCGGGUUGUAAACCGCUUUCGCCUGUGACGAAGCGUGAGUGACGGUAAUGGGUAAAGAAGCACCGGCUAACUACGUGCCAGCAGCCGCGGUGAUACGUAGGGUGCGAGCGUUGUCCGGAUUUAUUGGGCGUAAAGGGCUCGUAGGUGGUUGAUCGCGUCGGAAGUGUAAUCUUGGGGCUUAACCCUGAGCGUGCUUUCGAUACGGGUUGACUUGAGGAAGGUAGGGGAGAAUGGAAUUCCUGGUGGAGCGGUGGAAUGCGCAGAUAUCAGGAGGAACACCAGUGGCGAAGGCGGUUCUCUGGGCCUUUCCUGACGCUGAGGAGCGAAAGCGUGGGGAGCGAACAGGCUUAGAUACCCUGGUAGUCCACGCUGUAAACGGUGGGUACUAGGUGUGGGGUCCAUUCCACGGGUUCCGUGCCGUAGCUAACGCUUUAAGUACCCCGCCUGGGGAGUACGGCCGCAAGGCUAAAACUCAAAGGAAUUGACGGGGCCCCGCACAAGCGGCGGAGCAUGCGGAUUAAUUCGAUGCAACGCGUAGAACCUUACCUGGGUUUGACAUGGAUCGGGAGUGCUCAGAGAUGGGUGUGCCUCUUUUGGGGUCGGUUCACAGGUGGUGCAUGGCUGUCGUCAGCUCGUGUCGUGAGAUGUUGGGUUAAGUCCCGCAACGAGCGCAACCCUUGUUCACUGUUGCCAGCACGUUAUGGUGGGGACUCAGUGGAGACCGCCGGGGUCAACUCGGAGGAAGGUGGGGAUGACGUCAAGUCAUCAUGCCCCUUAUGUCCAGGGCUUCACGCAUGCUACAAUGGCUGGUACAGAGAGUGGCGAGCCUGUGAGGGUGAGCGAAUCUCGGAAAGCCGGUCUCAGUUCGGAUUGGGGUCUGCAACUCGACCUCAUGAAGUCGGAGUCGCUAGUAAUCGCAGAUCAGCAACGCUGCGGUGAAUACGUUCCCGGGGCUUGUACACACCGCCCGUCAAGUCAUGAAAGUUGGUAACACCCGAAGCCGGUGGCCUAACCGUUGUGGGGGAGCCGUCGAAGGUGGGACUGGUGAUUAGGACU
rnacentral:rRNA from 1 species